rnacentral:rRNA from 1 species
UAGGGAAUCUUCCACAAUGGGCGAAAGCCUGAUGGAGCAACGCCGCGUGUGUGAUGAAGGGUUUCGGCUCGUAAAACACUGUUGUAAGAGAAGAAUGACGUUGAGAGUAACUGUUCAAUGUGUGACGGUAUCUUACCAGAAAGGAACGGCUAAAUACGUGCCAG